AAUAAGUCUGCUUGCUUUAGUCGGUUGAGUUUAAUAAUAAUGGAAAGCUGGAUUCUGAUUGUUCUGGUUGUAAUGCCAGGUGUCUGGAGUGGGGACUGGAGGGUGACCUUCAAAGAUCAAUGUGCUUUAAGAGGGACAUCUGUUGUUAUAAAGUGUGAAUAUGACUAUCCUUUUCCUCAUAUUGUUACUUCAUAUUCCUGGUCUAAAUACCAGUCUGUAUCUGGCCGUUGGACGCCUCUUUAUCUACUCCCUUCACCCCCAAACCACUUUAUAUAUGUAGGUGACCGCAGCAGUGACUGUAGUCUGAAUAUCAACAAUGUGCAAUAUGAUGAUGUAGGAUGGUACCAUUUUAGUUUUGCAACAACAUUCAACAGGUGGACAAGCAAACAGUCUGCUAAAUUGGUUGUUAAAGGUAAAGUUUUUAUUAAAAAAAAAUAUCUCUCCUGAAUUGAAAUGAUUUGAAUAAAAUAAAUAUGUUUCUGUGUCUGGAUCAGAGUUGUCCACGGUUGUGGAGCCAAGCACUGUGACAGAAGGAAAAACUGUCAGACUGACCUGUAGCUCAGGUUGUUCCACACAGACACCCAUUGUCUGGUUCAGAGAUGGACAACCAGUAACAAAUCCAGUCUUCCUGGCCAGCAGAGAGGAUGCUGGGCGGUACCACUGCGCUUUACGAGGACAGGAGACGGUCAGAUCUGCCUCUGUGGUUCUGAAUGUUCAAUGUGAGUACACUACUAAUACAAAUAAUAAACACCCAACUUUUUGACCUUUUUUCCCAGCAGACGUUCCUUUGUUAUACUCAAACAGCCAAAUGACAGUGUGACAGUAAGGCAGUAUGCACAAUAUCAAGACCCUGACUUUUUAAUUUGAAUAUUUACACCUGUGCUUUUCCUAUGGCGACACGUCAGAAUGUCUUCAGUGAAAAAGUUCUAUUGCUGUAUUAGAGGAUGCAGAUUUGAAACUUGUUUCCUCCCUUGUGUUCACAUCUCCUUUUUUUGAAUAUAGUCAAUUUAUUA